UCCCCCCGUGCCCCCAGCCGCAAGCCCAGGGCCAGCCUCCAGGACUAGGGAUGCAGGCUCUUCCUCCUCAGCAGCCCAUUUUCCAGCGCCAGGGCCUCCAGCAGACACAGCAGCAGCAGCAGACGGCUGCCCUGGUCCGACAGCUUCAGCAGCAGCUCUCUAAUACCCAGCCCCAGCAGAACAGCAACCCCUUCGGACGCUACUGAGCCAGGAGGGAGACGGCGCUGGACUGGCUGUUCCCCGGGCACCGUGUUCUGCAGCUGCCUUGCUCGGCGGGCAGGGAGCGAGUUUCUCACACACUCUUUUUACUCCGGUUUCUACAAAGGGUUUGGUGCCUGUGUGGUCGUAGCCCCCUCCCCCCGUUUCAGUUUUUACUGAGUUUUUAGUAUUUUUGUUAAAAUAAUGAUUAAGACAUUGUAAGAUUUUGUACUUUAUUUAUACCAGAUGAAACCCUGUAUUGCAGACGUGCUCAGACAAAUACAGAGCGCUUACUUUGCAGCCGGGUGCGUGUGUGUUCCGAGUGGGGGCCCUUUCCCCGCCCAGCCUCGCCCCGGGGCCCGGCCCCUCCGGACGCCAGAUCGCUCGCUCUUUCUCAGAAGUGUGUCGCACCAUUCCCGCUCCUCAGUGCGUGCCUAGGCCAGCUCACCAGGCUGGUGUGGGGCAGGCCUGCUUCUUCAUGCCCUUUGGCCCCGCCGGCUCCUCCAGUGGGUAGCUGGACACAUCUGCCUCUUCUGGAGGCUAGUGAGAAUUCUGCCGUUUCCGUCAGUGCCACGGGCCGGAUAUUUAAUGUAUUUGAAUAGCCCUGGUGUCCGUUCCCUUCCCUUCCCUUGUCCAUUUCCCACAGUUCCUACCUUCUGAUUUACGGUCAUCGCUGGUCGUUCCCGUCUGCUGCUGUUACCACUUUUCAAGCGGCUUUCCCUUCCCCUCCCAACCAGUUCAGGUUUGAGCCUUCUUCCUCUUCCUCCUGCUGGGGGCUUGGCUUUUUUGGUACCUGGGACGUUGUUCUUCAGUGAUUCCCAAUGAUCAUUCCCAUUUCCUGAUAACAUGCUUCCUCCCAGCUGAUUGGCUGAUCAUUGUUUUCAGCUUUGUGAAAUUGGCCUAUUAAAAACCAGUUAAA